GACGAACGCUGGCGGCGUGCCUAAUACAUGCAAGUCGAACGCUGAAGGAGGAGCUUGCUUCUCCGGAUGAGUUGCGAACGGGUGAGUAACGCGUAGGUAACCUGCCUGGUAGCGGGGGAUAACUAUUGGAAACGAUAGCUAAUACCGCAUAACAGUAGAUAUUGCAUGAUAUCUGCUUGAAAGGUGCAAUUGCAUCACUACCAGAUGGACCUGCGUUGUAUUAGCUAGUUGGUGGGGUAACGGCUCACCAAGGCGACGAUACAUAGCCGACCUGGGAGGGGGAUCGGCCACACUGGGACUGAGACACGGCCCAGACUCCUACGGGAGGCAGCAGUAGGGAAUCUUCGGCAAUGGACGGAAGGCUGACCGAGCAACGCCGCGUGAGUGAAGAAGGGUUUCGGAUCGGAAAGCUCUGUUGUAAGAGAAGAACGAGUGUGAGAGUGGAAAGUUCACACUGUGACGGUAUCUUACCAGAAAGGGACGGCUAACUACGUG
rnacentral:rRNA from 1 species